GUUGAAACACUGGUUCUCAUAUGCUCACUGAAGUUAAGCAAUGUCGAGCCUGGCCAGUACCUAAAUGGGUGACCACUUAGGAAUACCAGGUACUGUAA